GGGCGGGCGGUCCCCGCGGCGCGGGAGGCUGGCGGUGGGGUCCGGCCAUCGCCAUCGCCAGCCCCCGAGGGGCCGCCUGGGGGAAGGGGAGCGGGGCCGCGACCUCCGUUCUUCCCGCCCUGUCUGCCGGGAGCCAGUGCGGGGCCGGGAGGGCAGCCCGGUCCCGGCCUCUUCCCCCUGAGCGCGGUUGGUUCCUGCACCCGUAGCCGUCCGUGCGUUCCUCUCUGUGUUCUCCCCAGAGUCAGAGUAAGAAGGAGUAACGUCGCUCAGUUUUAUUUUACUUGUUCCCUCAUGCCGGCAGGUUCAGUGGAAUUGCUCGUUUUCGACGCCGGGAGGCUGCGAAAUGAGGUACCUGCAGUGCUCGAGAGAAAUGUCUUCAUCAGGAAGAAGCCUAGGUAUCAGGAAGAAGCCUAGAGCCUCAUGGAUAACAAAUGAAGACAGCUAUACACCAAAAAAACAUUGAAAAGGAUCAUAUUUUAAUCAUCUGUUCUCCAGUUCCAAACCCUGCAGCAACAGCUUGUGAG